rnacentral:tRNA from 2 species
GGGGUGUUAGCUCAGCUGGUAGAGCACCGGACUUUUAAUCCGAUGGUCGGGAGUUCGAUCCUCCCACACCCUACCA